CCUACGGGAGGCUGCAGUGAGGAAUAUUGGUCAAUGGACGCGAGUCUGAACCAGCCAAGUAGCGUGAAGGAUGACUGCCCUAUGGGUUGUAAACUUCUUUUAUAUGGGAAUAAAAUGUUCCACGUGUGCGAUUUUGUAUGUACCAUAUGAAUAAGGAUCGGCUAACUCCGUGCCAGCAGCCGCGGUAAUACGGAGGAUCCGAGCGUUAUCCGGAUUUAUUGGGUUUAAAGGGAGCGUAGGUGGAUUGUUAAGUCAGUUGUGAAAGUUUGCGGCUCAACCGUAAAAUUGCAGUUGAUACUGGCAGUCUUGAGUACAGUAGAGGUGGGCGGAAUUCGUGGUGUAGCGGUGAAAUGCUUAGAUAUCACGAAGAACUCCGAUUGCGAAGGCAGUUCACUGGACUGCAACUGACACUGAGGCUCGAAAGUGUGGGUAUCAAACAGGAUUAGAUUCCCUGGUAGUC
rnacentral:rRNA from 1 species